GACGAACGCUGGCGGCGUGCUUAACACAUGCAAGUCGAACGGAAAGGCCCUGCUUUGGUGGGGUGAACGAGUGGCGAACGGGUGAGUAACACGUGAGUAACCUGCCCUUGACUUUGGGAUAACUUCAGGAAACUGGGGCUAAUACCGGAUAGGAUCUCCUGCUGCAUGGUGGGGGUUGGAAAGUUUCGGCGGUUGGGGUUGGACUGGCGGCUUAUCAGCUGGUUGGUGGGGUAGUGGCUGACCAAGGCUUUGACGGGUAGCCGGCCUGAGAGGGUGACCGGCCACAUUGGGACUGAGGUACGGCCCAGACUCGUACGGGAGGCAGCGGGGGGGAAUAUUGCCCAAUGGGCGGAAGCCUGAUGCGGCAGCGCCGCGUGCGGGAUGACGGCCUUCGGGGUGAGAACCGCUUUCGCCUGUGACGAAGCGUGAGUGACGGUAAUGGGUAAAGAAGCACCGGCUAACUACGUG
rnacentral:rRNA from 1 species